rnacentral:rRNA from 2 species
GGGGAAUAUUGCACAAUGGAGGGAACUCUGAUGCAGCGACGCCGCGUGAACGAAGAAGGCUUUCGGGUCGUAAAGUUCUGUCCUUGGGGACGAUAAUGACGGUACCCAAGGAGGAAGCCCCGGCUAACUACGUGCCAGCAGCCGCGGUAAUACGUAGGGGGCGAGCGUUGUCCGGAAUUAUUGGGCGUAAAGGGUUCGCAGGCGGUUACAUAAGUCAGAUGUGAAAGCCAUAGGCUUAACCUAUGUAAGCAUUUGAAACUGAGUAACUUGAGUUAAGGAGAGGAAAGUGGAAUUCCUAGUGUAGCGGUGAAAUGCGUAGAUAUUAGGAGGAAUACCAGUGGCGAAGGCGACUUUCUGGACUUAAACUGACGCUGAGGAACGAAAGCGUGGGGAGCAAACA